rnacentral:rRNA from 1 species
AACGAACGCUGGCGGCAUGCCUAACACAUGCAAGUCGAACGAGACCUUCGGGUCUAGUGGCGCACGGGUGCGUAACGCGUGGGAACCUGCCCUUAGGUUCGGAAUAACUCCCCGAAAGGGGUGCUAAUACCGGAUAAUGUCUUCGGACCAAAGAUUUAUCGCCUUUGGAUGUGCCAGCGUUGGAUUAGCUAGUUGGUAGGGUAAAAGCCUACCAAGGCGACGAUCCAUAGCUGGUCUGAGAGGAUGAUCAGCCACACUGGGACGGAGACACGGCCCAGACUCCUACGGGAGGCAGCAGUGGGGAAUAUUGGACAAUGGGCGAAAGCCUGAUCCAGCAAUGCCGCGUGAGUGAUGAAGGCCGUAGGGUUGUAAAGCUCUUUUACCCGGGAUGAUAAUGACAGUACCGGGAGAAUAAGCUCCGGCUAACUCCGUG